CCUACGGGAGGCAGCAGUGGGGGAUAUUGCACAAUGGGGGGAAGCCUGAUGCAGCGACGCCGCGUGAGGGAAGAAGGACCUAGGGAUGUAAAGCCCUAUUAGCAGGGAAGAAAAUGACGGUACCUGACUAAGAAGCCCCGGCUAAAUACGUGCCAGCAGCCGCGGUAAUACGGAUGGGGCAAGCGUUAUCCGGAAUGACUGGGUGUAAAGGGAGCGCAGGCGGGCUGACAAGUCUGGUGGGAAAACCCGGGGCCCAACCCCGGGUCUGCAUUGGAAACUGGCGGGCUGGAGUGUGGGAGGGGCAGGCGGAAUUCCUGGUGUAGCGGUGAAAUGCGUAGAUAUUAGGAGGAACACCGGUUGCGAAGGCGGCCUGCUGGACGAUGACUGACGCUGAGGCUCGAAAGCGUGGGGAGCAAACAGGAUUAGAUACCCCUGUAGUC
rnacentral:rRNA from 1 species